ACCCGUCUAGCUCAGUCGGUAGAGCGCUGGCCUUUUUAAGCCAGUGGUCGUGGGUUCGAUCCCCACGGGGGGUG
rnacentral:tRNA from 1 species